CAAUAGCGUAUAUUAAAGUUGUUGCAGUUAAAAAGCUCGUAGUUGGAUUUCUGGUGGGAGCGAUCGGUCUGGCGCUUAGCGCGAGUACUUGCAUCGUCUCCGGCCAUCCUUGGGGAGAGUCUGUCUGGCAUUAAGUUGUCGGGCAGAGGAUCCUCAUCGUUUACUGUGAAAAAAUUAGAGUGUUCAAAGCAGGCUUAUGCCGUUGAAUAUAUUAACAUGGAAUAAUAAGAUAGGACUUUGGUACUAUUUUGUUGGUUUGCGCACCAAAGUAAUGAUUAAUAGGGACAGUUGGGGGUAUUCGUAUUCCGUUGUCAGAGGUGAAAUUCUUGGAUUUACGGAAGACGAACUACUGCGAAAGCAUUUACCAAGGAUGUUUNCAUUAA
rnacentral:rRNA from 1 species